UACGUAGGGUGCAAGCGGUAAUCGGAAUUACUGGGCGUAAAGCGUGCGCAGGCGGUUUUGUAAGUCUGACGUGAAAUCCCCGUGCUCAACCUGGGAAUUGCGUUGGAGACUGCAAGGCUAGAAUCUGGCAGAGGGGGGUAGAAUUCCACGUGUAGCAGUGAAAUGCGUAGAGAUGUGGAGGAACACCGAUGGCGAAGGCCGCCCCCUGGGUCAAGAUUGACGCUCAUGCACGAAAGCGUGGGGAGCAAACAGG
rnacentral:rRNA from 1 species